UACAGAGGGUGCGAGCGUUAAUCGGAAUUACUGGGCGUAAAGCGCGCGUAGGCGGCUUUUCAAGUCGAUUGUGAAAUCCCCGGGCUUAACCUGGGAACUGCAGUCGAGACUGUCUAGCUAGAGUAUGGGAGAGGGAAGUGGAAUUUCAGGUGUAGCGGUGAAAUGCGUAGAUAUCUGAAGGAACAUCAGUGGCGAAAGCGACUUCCUGGACCAAUACUGACGCUGAUGAGCGAAAGCCAGGGGAGCAAACGGG
rnacentral:rRNA from 1 species